rnacentral:lncRNA from 1 species
AGCGGGGCUCGGAUGGGAGCGGCCCGCGCCAGAUCCGAGGGCGAUUGCCUCUCCAGCCUGCGGAGGGUACGGCCGCGAGUGCCUCCAAAUCACUAGGGGACUCUGAACGUGUUGCUCCCGUCAACUCGCUCAACAUGAUUCAUUUAUUCACUUAGAUAAACCACCACCGCCACACCAACCUGCCACUUGAUGCGCACUUAAAAGGACAGGGGAGCGCGGGCCAGGCAGACCCUCCGCCGGACAGGACUCGGGGAGAAACGUGUUUUAAAAUCCAAGCUCUUGAGCUUCUAACCAGGGAGCGCGCGCGAGUGUGUGAAGAGGCUGAGAACCUCGGUUUUCAGAGACUCUAGAAUAAACUUCUCGCCCCCCUCUCCUCCCGAGGACAGUCGGGACUGUGGGUGAUCGAGUCUCAUUGGGUCGGGUCGGCCUUCUAAGUUGGCGGGGCCCUGCGGGACCGGUCUGCUUGACCCGACCGCGCUCGCAUUGGAGAGCCGAGGCUCGAUCGGUCUGCCGGGCUGCAUAACCCCCGCCCCGCAGCAGCGGCGUCCCUCGCGCGCCGCCGCGUUUCCCGCGCUCUCGGCCCGUACUUCCCGGCGCGGCCUACAAGGCCCCGCGCGGCCCCGCCUCCGGGUCCCGCUCGGUCUCCGGCUGCGAGAGGGAAGGCGGAGGUUAUCCGCCGAGGGACAAGCGGCGCGGACCGAGGUUCCUGAGCAGAAGGGAAAAUGAGCUUAAACAUGAGGCUUGGAGGAGAAAGAAGGGCUGGGGAGAAAUAUGAAUGUCUAUUAGAAUCAUCCAGAGCAUGGAUUGGACUGAUGCUGAAGCUCCAGUACUUUGGCCACCUGAUGAGAAGAGCUGACUCCCUGGAGGAGACCCUGAUGCUUUGAAAGAUUGAGGGCAAGAGGAAAAGGGGGUGACAGAGGAUGAGAUAGUUGGAUGGCAUCACAGACUCAAUGGACAUGAGUUUAAGCAAAUUCCGGGAGAUAGUCAAGGACAGGGGAGCCUGAUGUGCUGCAGCCCAUGGGGUCACAAAGAGUUGGACAUGACUGAGUGACUGAACAAUAACAACAACAACGCACACAGAUUAGGAAAGUCCCAAAUUUCAAUCAUCUCUAUGGAAUGGCCUUGAAACAGCAAUGCUCAUGACUACUUAUGAAAUAUCUUCUGUGACAGACAGAUAAUAGACACUCCACCCAUCCUGUCUUAUAAAAAGUAUCUUAUUAUAAAAUGACAAACAUAUAGAAAACAAGAAUAUUAUAAAACCAUGGGUGCACAUUAGUCAUUUUCCAUUUGAUAAGGUCUUUUAAAAUGUAAUAAAAUAUUAUUGAAAUAAUUGAAUUCUCCUGUG